AAUGAACGUUGGCGGCGUGGAUUAGGCAUGCAAGUCGCGCGACAAGCCCCGCAAGGGGUGGAGGAGCGGCAAACGGGGUAGUAAUGCGUCGGAACGUACCCUCAGGUCGGGGAUAGCCAGGGGAAACUCUGGGUAAUACCCGAUGACCUCGCGAGAGCAAAGGUCCGCCGCCUGAGGAGCGGCCGACGUGGUAUCAGGUAGUUGGCGGGGUAACGGCCCACCAAGCCAGAGACGCCUAGGGGGUGUGAGAGCACGACCCCCACCACUGGGACUGAGAUACUGCCCAGACACCUACGGGUGGCUGCAGUCGAGAAUCUUCCGCAAUGGGCGCAAGCCUGACGGAGCGACGCCGCGUGCGGGAUGAAGGCCUUCGGGUUGUAAACCGCUGUCAGAGGGGAUGAAAGCCGCAAGGCUUGACAGAGCCUCAGAGGAAGCACGGGCUAAGUUCGUGC
rnacentral:rRNA from 1 species